GAUGAACGCUGGCGGCGUGCCUAAUACAUGCAAGUCGAGCGAACAGACGAGGAGCUUGCUCCUCUGACGUUAGCGGCGGACGGGUGAGUAACACGUGGAUAACCUACCUAUAAGACUGGGAUAACUUCGGGAAACCGGAGCUAAUACCGGAUAAUAUAUUGAACCGCAUGGGUCAAUAGUGAAAGACGGUUUUGCUGUCACUUAUAGAUGGAUCCGCGCCGCAUUAGCUAGUUGGUAAGGUAACGGCUUACCAAGGCAACGAUGCGUAGCCGACCUGAGAGGGUGAUCGGCCACACUGGAGCUGAGACACGGUCCAGACUCCUACGGGAGGCAGCAGUAGGGAAUCUUCCGCAAUGGGCGAAAGCCUGACGGAGCAACGCCGCGUGAGUGAUGAAGGUCUUCGGAUCGUAAAACUCUGUUAUUAGGGAAGAACAAAUGUGUAAGUAACUAUGCACGUCUUGACGGUACCUAAUCAGAAAGCCACGGCUAACUACGUG
rnacentral:rRNA from 1 species